CAAAAUAAGAAAAGAGAAGUUUCCUAAAAAUAACAAAAUGUAGAGCGUGAGAGGAAAGUCAACAAUAAAAAUGGCCUACGGCGAAAAAAAUCAUGAGAAAACAUCUCGAUUUGCUCAUGAUGUAUUAGUUUGUAUUUUCUUUUACAACUAUUCGUUUGUAUUUUAUAUUCUUCAUCAACAGACGCCUAUUGCUCCGCUUAUCUCAGCCAGCUCUACUGCCACAUCAGUAGAUUCACAAUCUACUCUUACUCCUACCCCAGUUAUGGAUUGUUAUCUAUCUCAUAUUACCAACAAUGAGGUCAUAGAAUCUUUAGUUGUUGAUCUGAUGACCACAACACCUAUACAUUCUGCAUUUGAGAGUUCUUUUCGGUUUUCAGUGUUAGAAAAUGUGGAUAAAGCUGAGAUUGAACCUCCUGACUCUAUCAACUUGACCAGAGGUGGGAGGGAAUCAAAACCUCCGAUCAAGUACCAUAAUAUGGAAUAGAAUACAGUGCGAGGUAGGAGGAAGUGUGGUCGCAAUGGCCGUGGUUCGUCUCGCUAGUUUCUGUUUUAUCGUCAUUUAAUGGUCAUUACUAGCAUCUAUCUUUGUUUAGAUAGAGUCUAAAUAUUACACGAAACCUGUUUCGUGCAAACUUUAUCCCACUAUAAGAUCCGAAGUCUUAUCUUUGUAAUACUUAUGUUUUAAAUUAAAAGUUCUUUUUCAAAAAAAUGAUACUUUUGUCCAACCUUUUUUCCUAACAAUUAUCAAAAUUUAUUCACAAAAGAAAAUUAAACCAGAGAAUUAAAA